rnacentral:rRNA from 1 species
AACGAACGCUGGCGGCAUGCCUAACACAUGCAAGUCGAACGAGACCUUCGGGUCUAGUGGCGCACGGGUGCGUAACGCGUGGGAACAUGCCCUUAGGUUCGGAAUAACUCCCCGAAAGGGGUGCUAAUACCGGAUAAGAUCUUCGGACCAAAGAUUUAUCGCCUUUGGAUGGGCCCGCGUUGGAUUAGCUAGUUGGUAGGGUAAAAGCCUACCAAGGCGCCGAUCCAUAGCUGGUCUGAGAGGAUGAUCCGCCACACUGGGACUGAGACACGGCCCAGACUCCUACGGGAGGCAGCAGUGGGGAAUAUUGGACAAUGGGCGAAAGCCUGAUCCAGCAAUGCCGCGUGAGUGAUGAAGGCCUUAGGGUUGUAAAGCUCUUUUACCCGGGAUGAUAAUGACAGUACCGGGAGAAUAAGCUCCGGCUAACUCCGUG